UGACGGACUUAGCUCUGCCCUCCUCUGAGGGUCCUGGUUCUUUUCUGAAGAAUACAGGAAGAUCUUUAGACCGGUCACUCUUCAUAGACAGACAGUCGGACAUAUCAGACUUUUGGUCUGCCCUCCUCUUCCUCGACACCAUCUUCUCGAUCUUCUGUUGUGUAAAUUUAUGGAAGAUGAAACCGAGUUCUACAACCUGAGGACAAAGUAGACAAACAGGUGAGACACAAACAGGAAGUGAGAGUUUCGAAAUAAAAGAGGAAUCAGAAAGGAAGUACAGAGUCUGAAAACAGCUUCAUCCCCCUCUAUAAGAGUUAUACAGGUUUAAUCAUAGAUAUAUGUAUAUAAACCUUUCUUAUAUAUGUCUAUGGGUUUAAUAUCAAGACCUUCUGAUGUCUCCCCACCCUGCAGGGCCUCUCUCUGAUCCUGGUCUGAUUCAUGGUUAAACAAAAUCAGCUGUGAGGUCCCUGAACUCUCAUAAAAACUUAAGGAACUGGAUUACAUUUGAAAUGAGAGGCUAAAAAGAUUCUGAUUUUAGUUUUUACCACAAAGACAAGUCUGAACAAAGAGGAGGAGGAACUGCACGUUCACAGUUUCUGUAUGAAGAACUGAUCCAGCUCUUUGUCUGCUCAGGUUUCUUUGUUUUACAGUUUUAAAGUGUUUUAGUCAGUAAAUCAUUUUUCAUUAACGGAUAAAACAGAUAAAGAGUUUGACAUUAAAACUAAAACAGAGUAAACUCUCACCCUGUCUCUUCGUCCUCUCCUCUCUUCGUUUUUCAAAAUGGAGUCUGUUUGUUUAACUAACAUACUUUCACUUUCACUCUGACUGUUUUCCCUGAAACCUGAACCACCAGAUCACAGAUUCUUCUCCUCAUUUACUGACAGUUUUUCAUCAUCUUUAAAAUUCAGUAUUCUUGACAACCAUCUUCCUCUCCCGAGUCCAAAUUAAAAAAAGUUCACUAAAACAGGAACUUGCUUGUUUGGUUGAGUCUCAGUUUAUUGUUAAUGCAGCAGCUCCACCUGCUGGUCAAACCAACAAACUACCAGAUGAGCACUCCUCUUCUCAUCCCCCAAUAAAUGUUAAGAUUUGGUUGAACAGGUUUUUAUUUUUGCAAACGUGUUUCACUCUGCUUACGGCCACUCUCUGGUGGCGAAAACGGUUUAUUUUCGUUUCUUGUAAGACAUAAAUUAACUCAGAGUGCGAUGGAGUUUGGCAGCAACAAACUGACAGCUUUUCUUGUCCAUUUUCAGCUCAGAAACCGGAACAUAAAGUUCAGCUGACGUUCAG